GGUCCCGUGGUGUAAUGGUUAGCACUCUGGACUUUGAAUCCAGCGAUCCGAGUUCGAGUCUCGGUGGAACCU
rnacentral:tRNA from 1 species